CUUAACACAUGCAAGUCGAACGCUCACCUUCGGGUGGGAGUGGCAGACGGGUGAGUAACACGUGGGAACGUACCCUUUGGUUCGGGACAACUCUGGGAAACUGGAGCUAAUACCGGAUACGCCCUUUUGGGGAAAGGUUUACUGCCGAAGGAUCGGCCAGCGUCUGAUUAGCUAGUUGGUGGGGUAACGGCCUACCAAGGCGACGAUCAGUAGCUGGUCUGAGAGGAUGAUCAGCCACACUGGGACUGAGACACGGCCCAGACUCCUACGGGAGGCAGCAGUGGGGAAUAUUGGACAAUGGGCGCAAGCCUGAUCCAGCCAUGCCGCGUGAGUGAUGAAGGCCUUAGGGUUGUAAAGCUCUUUUAUCCGGGACGAUAAUGACGGUACCGGAGGAAUAAGCCCCGGCUAACUUCGUGCCAGCAGCCGCGGUAAUACGAAGGGGGCUAGCGUUGCUCGGAAUCACUGGGCGUAAAGGGCGCGUAGGCGGCGUUUUAAGUCGGGGGUGAAAGCCUGUGGCUCAACCACAGAAUGGCCUUCGAUACUGGGACGCUUGAGUCUGGUAGAGGUUGGUGGAACUGCGAGUGUAGAGGUGAAAUUCGUAGAUAUUCGCAAGAACACCGGUGGCGAAGGCGGCCAACUGGACCGGCACUGACGCUGAGGCGCGAAAGCGCGGGGAGCAAACAGGAUUAGAUACCCUGGUAGUCCACGCUGUAAACGAUGAAUGCUAGCUGUUGGGAUGCAUGCAUCUCAGUAGCGCAGCUAACACAUUAAGCAUCCGCCU
rnacentral:rRNA from 1 species